rnacentral:rRNA from 1 species
AACGAACGCUGGCGGCAUGCCUAAUACAUGCAAGUCGAACGAGACCUUCCGGUCUAGUGGCGAACGGGUGCGUAACGUGUGGGAACCUGCCCUUAGGCUCGGAAUAACUCCCCGAAAGGGGUGCUAAUACCGGAUAAUGUCUUCGGACCAAAGAUUUAUCGCCUUUGGAUGGGCCCGCGUUGGAUUAGCUAGUUGGUAGGGUAAAAGCCUACCAAGGCGACGAUCCAUAGCUGGUCUGAGAGGAUGAUCAGCCACACUGGGACUGAGACACGGCCCAGACUCCUACGGGAGGCAGCAGUGGGGAAUAUUGGACAAUGGGCGAAAGCCUGAUCCAGCAAUGCCGCGUGAGUGAUGAAGGCCUUAGGGUUGUAAAGCUCUUUUACCCGGGAUGAUAAUGACAGUACCGGGAGAAUAAGCUCCGGCUAACUCCGUG